rnacentral:rRNA from 1 species
AGGGGAGCGGCGCGAUUCGCCCUUUACUCCUACGGAGGCAGCAGUGGGGAAUAUUUGCGCAAUGGACGAAAGCCUGACGCAGCAACGCCGCGUGGGGGAUGAAGGUUCUCGGAUUGUAAACCCCUUUCGACCGGAACGAAUUCCCUCCUGGUAAAUAAUCAGGAGGAUCGACGGUACCGGGAGAAGAAGCCACGGCUAACUCUGUGCCAGCAGCCGCGGUAAGACAGAGGUGGCGAGCGUUGUUCGGAUUUAUUGGGCGUAAAGCGAACGCAGGUGGUUUGGUAAGUCAGAGGUGAAAGACCACAGCUUAACUGUGGCACUGCCUUUGAUACUGCCUUUCUAGAGUGCAUGAGGGGGAAGCGGAAUUCCGAGUGUAGAGGUGAAAUUCGUAGAUAUCCGGAGGAACACCGGUGGCGAAGGCGACUUCCUGGACCGAAACUGACGCUGAGACUCGAAAGCGUGGGGAGCAAACAGGAUUAGAUACCCUGGUAGUCCACGCUGUAAACGAUGGGCGCUAGGUGUGGGGGGUUUUUAAUCCCUCCGUGCCGGUGCUAACGCAUUAAGCGCCCCGCCUGGGGAGUACGGCCGCAAGGUUA